rnacentral:tRNA from 1 species
GGAGAUUUAGCUCAAUAGUACAGCACUUGCCUAACAUUCAUGAGGCCCUGGGUUCAAUCCUCAGUAUCUCAC